rnacentral:misc_RNA from 1 species
GUAUCACCGGAUUUAACCCUAUACGGGAAAGCAUGACCCAAUACCUCCCCGUCGUUCAAGCAAUCACAACGGAAAGGUAUGUUAAUUCUUGUCCCGGCGAUUACACUAUCUUGAUUAGGGAUAUUGUCCCUGUUGUUGUAAGAAACGAUAUCUGCUAUACUGGUGGAGAACAUCUCUGAGAUUAAAGUGAGAUUUGAACCUCGCCAGACAUAGAAUGAAGCUAAAGCUAAAUCGCAGCCUCUGUUACAUUGGGAGUUAACUGGUAAUGGAACAGAGGAUAAGUAAACUAGUAUAACGAAAACCCCUAAGCUCAAAACACUUCUUGGCCUGGAUUCAAACAUGUUUCAUGAAGAAAGAAUGAAAAUUUCUGAAAUGGGUAUGUGGGAAAUUGAUUCAAGAACGUAUUUUUAUGGAUUUCCUGAAAUGGGUAUUAUGAAAUUGAUACAAAAAUGUAUUUUUCUGGAAAUUAUGAAAUGGGUGUGAAGGAAAUUGAUGCAAGAACGAAUUUUUCUGGGAAAUUUGAGCUGGGUUUUGGAGGAGUAAGCGUUGAC